GGCUGGUCCGAGUGCAGUGGUGUUUACAACUAAUUGAUCACAACCAGUUAGAUUUCUUUGUUCCUUCUCCACUCCCACUGCUUCACUUGACUAGCCUUAA
ensembl:misc_RNA Y_RNA Y RNA